rnacentral:rRNA from 1 species
GAUGAACGCUGGCGGCGUGCCUAAUACAUGCAAGUCGAGCGAACGGACGAGAAGCUUGCUUCUCUGAUGUUAGCGGCGGACGGGUGAGUAACACGUGGAUAACCUACCUAUAAGACUGGGAUAACUUCGGGAAACCGGAGCUAAUACCGGAUAAUAUUUUGAACCGCAUGGUUCAAAAGUGAAAGACGGUCUUGCUGUCACUUAUAGAUGGAUCCGCGCUGCAUUAGCUAGUUGGUAAGGUAACGGCUUACCAAGGCAACGAUGCAUAGCCGACCUGAGAGAGGGAUCGGCCACACUGGAGCUGAGACGCGGUCCAGACUCCUACGGGAGGCCGCAGUAGGGAAUCUUCCGCAAUGGGCGAAAGCCUGACGGAGCAACGCCGCGUGAGUGAUGAAGGUCUUCGGAUCGUAAAACUCUGUUAUUAGGGAAGAACAUAUGUGUAAGUAACUGUGCACAUCUUGACGGUACCUAAUCAGAAAGCCACGGCUAACUACGUG